UAGCCAUCGCCGUCGAAGACGCCACCGCCGCCACUGCCGUCAAUUGGGAUCAAAAUUGUUGCUGUGUUCCCAGAGCUGUCAUGGAAGUGGCUGAUUCGGUCCCAAUUCCUCCAUUGUUGAGACUGACCAUUAUGGUGGUAUUGAGGCCAUCAGGAAACUAUUAGAGCUGCUGUUGAUGAGUUUGAUAUUGCUACUUCAAUUCUGGGCUGUGUUCACUUUCGAUACCUAUUUAAUUUGGAUUCUCUAUUCUGCUGUAACUACCAUUAUCGUCAUGGAAUUGUUGCCGCUGCUGCCAUGAAA